GCUCGCAAUACCCGGGCUCGCGCCGCCCGAGCCCGCGCGCGAAUCCACGAGAUGCCGCUGCGGGCCAGCGGAGGGAAAGGUGCGAGAGGCUAUUGGACAGCCCCGGCCAGGGAGGCCAGGUCCCUCGGCCCACCCAGGGCCUUUGGCCGCAGCCGGCGCCGAAGGAGCUCGUGGUCGUGCGUGUGGAAGGCCACAGUGCCUCCGGCCAGCCGUACCGAGAUGGCCGCUCGCCCUCUGGACUGUCAGCUUAUUGGAUUGUAGGCAAGCUUUGGGCUGAAGUCAUCUUUCUGGCCUCGCAGCCCCCACCCAACUCAACAUUUAGUGUAUGGCCAUUAAUUGAGGAGCAAGACUAGAAUAAGAAUAUUCUGGUGCAACUGGCAUGGUGGCACUCACCUGUAAUCAUAGCCCUCUGAAAGAUGAGGCAGAAGAAUCCUAUGUUUGAGACCAGCCUGAGCUAAAUACAGAGACCUUCAUUUUAAUUUUUUUAUUUAAAAAUUCAGACAGCAGCGUUUAAGGAGCCAGCCAGGCUGAUGACUCAGCUCAUAAAACAAUGUGUGGCCACAAAGAUGAUGUUUAUCCAGGAGCAUUCUGGAGGCUCUUGCUACCGAAGCCGGCAAGCUGUGGGUAUGUGGUACACGAUGCUCAUUCUCCCAGGAGUUUCUGCAGCCGUGACAAAGCAGCACUCCCCAGCUGCAACUCUCCCAGCAGUGGAUCUCACACGAUGCUCUCCCUAAACAGAAAGCCUGUAUCACCGAAGGGGAAAAAAAAGUGCUGCUUUGACCUCUACCUGGACUACCUUGUUCAACUUAUUCAAAGUUGAAUAGGAGGAGGGAAGACUACUUAUUGGAGUACUGACGGCUUUCUUAGAGACCCCCUACAUACUGCAAAUGCUUCAGACACUCAGAGUACUAUCUCCUCUCCUGUGAUGGUUACCUGAGUGUCAGUCAACUUGAGUGGAUUAAGAGACAUUUAGAGCAUUGGUGAAAACACCGUUUGUUGUGUUUGUGAGAGUGCCGGCUGAACAACAGUAUCCUCUCUACUUUGCUUCCUGAUCCUCCAAGAUAUUAAAGAACAGCCUCCUGCUCCUCCUGGCAUGGUGGCCAUGCCCCCUCAACAGUGAACCACAAUAACUCUUCCUCUCUUAACACAAUAACUUUUCCUCUAUUAAGUUGCUUCUUUGUUGGUGGUCAUGAAAAAAACAACAAUGUAUCCUUCUUCAAUCCCUAUCUCAGAACUGUGGCUCUGUCUUGGUUACUUUUCUGUUAUUGUGAUAAGAUAUCAUGACCAAGGCAACUUACAGAAGAAAGAGUUUACUGGAGGCUUACAGUUUCAGAAGGCAAGAGUCCGUGACCAUUAUGGUGAGAAGCAUGGCAGCAGGCAAGCAGGCAUGGCACUGGAGUCAUAGCUCAGAUCCUACAUCUUGAUCCACAAGCACAAAGCAGAAAAAAAAAAGUUAACUGGGAAUGUCAUGGGCUUUUGAAACUUCAG
rnacentral:lncRNA from 1 species